ACCUCCAGUCUGCAUGAAGAUGGGGAGGGAGGAAGCUCUUGGAGCUGCUCUGCCUCCAAAAGUACCUUCCAGUGGGCUUCGUACACCACACAAAGAACAGGAUAGCUCAGAAGUUGGUGGCACCACCAAGCCUCUGUUAUAAGGUGGGAUUUUGCCUCCUCAUGGCUCAGAAUGGAGAGCUGCAAAAAGUUCUCCAUAACCUGGUGAUGCGGCCUCACCUUGAGCACUCUGCAGGUUUGUAUGCCACAAUAUAAGAAGGACAUAAACUUCUGAAGAGCAUCCAAAGAAGGGCUACAAAGAUGGUGAACGGUCUGGAAGGGAUGGUGUAUGAGGAGUGGCUCAGGUUCCUUGCUUUGUUUGGCCCAGAGAAGAGGAGGUUGAGGGGAUGCCUAGCAUGGAACCACAACCAUACCACAGCAAUCCCCAGCAGAGAACACCAGCAUGGACAACCUGUUCUUACUGCUGGCACUUCCUGCAAGGAGCUAAAGAGUUCCUUGCUCUGUUGGUACCUCUCAGCCACCCGCUAAAGUUGGGCAUCCUUCAACCUGCCCCCUGCUCCUCAUGACUCAGGGAAAAGCCACAGAAGGAGAAGGAGCUACUCAACCCUUUCUGACCCAUCUGGAAGGCAGCAGUGGUACAGUCCCAACGGAGAUGUUACAUAAACUUGCCUUUUGUUGACAUUUUCAGUUUUGUUACUUUGGGGUAAACAAAAUUCCUCUAGCAGAAUAAGCUGUCUUUGCAUUAUGCUGACCCUUUGGACAAUGCUCUCAGACAUAGUUUGUUUUUUGGGUGGUCCUGUAUGGAGCCAGAGGUUGGACUCAACAAUCCUUGUGAGUGCCUUCCAACUUGGGAUAAUCAAUGAUUCUGUCACACUGUGCUUGUUUCUUCUUCACAGGACGUUUCUAUUCAGUAGGUUGGAGAGCUUAUGGAGCAGGAGUUGAGGAAGGACAUGGCAUGAGGUUUAAAGACCAAGUGGCAUGCCAUGUGGCCGCCCAGAUGCAACUCAUCCACAGACUGCAUGGGGAAGCUUCAGUAUAUCAUGCAGAGACAGCAAGGGAACUGUGCAGAAAGGAUCCAAAAGUCCUGGGCUGAAAUCCCAGUAAAGCUGAUGGCAGGAUUUCCAUCCAUUUCAGUAGGGCCAGGAGCUCACCCUCUGAGAAUCCAUACUGGCUCUGCUGGGCAAUGAGUCCGUCUCCAACUUUUCCUUCUGUAUUAUCCAUUAAAAAGUCACAGAAACACCUGUUUUACAC
ensembl:lncRNA